UAUUAACUACAGGGUGGUUACAAAUCUGUUUUAGCUAAUAUUUCUUUAAAUGAGACCUUCGGUAAAAAGAAAUAUGGAUGCUAUUGGCUUAAAGCUUUGAGUCUACUGGAUUUGGGAUCUUGAGGCUGUAAGCCUCUAAAUUAAUGUGCAAGCAAAAUAAUUUAAGCCUCCCCUAAAAUAAAACCCCACAAAAUCAGAACUACGAGCAUCCCUUGAAGAAGGGAGUCGUGUCUUAGCAUGGACUAAACAGUCUCUUUGGACGUGCAGGGGUAUGUUUGGAAGGGGUCGCUGUGUGUAACUCCUGGAUGUAGAGCAGAGAACAAGCCUGAAGGCCUGGGGAACCUACUCCAGAGCUCUGACCACCAACUGCAGUGAAGAAACCAUCCAGGAAGCAUUUAUGCUGCCCUUUCGGAAGUGUUAGCUGUCCUUCCAUUCAGCCAAGCCAGACAUAACUCAUGAUGUCAAGCAGUUUCACUGCAAAGACCUUGACUGAAGGAGAAUAGGUGAGCAUUGUCUCAGGAGAGCCGUGAGUAGUGACGCUUGUGGACUGAAUUGUGCACCCCCUGAUGGUGAUGGCUACUUUUGUCUGUCCAGUUGAAAUGUCUGGGAUGAGGGAACUCCAGAUGAGGAAUUGCUUCCAUCAGAUUCUCCUAUUACAUGGGGUUGUUUUUUUUUUUUUUGAUUGCUGACUGAUGGAGGAGAACCACACCCACUGUGGCACCUUGGGGCAGAUGGGCCUGGGUUGCAUUAGAGAGCAAGCCGAGGGGAGCAAGCCAGUAAGCAGCGUUCCUCUAUGCUUUCUGCAUCGGUUC